rnacentral:rRNA from 1 species
AACGAAGAACCUUACCCAGGCUUGACAUGCAGCUGCAAGGGGGGGAAACGUCGUUGCCUUCGAGGGURCUGCACAGGUGCUGCAUGGUUGUCGUCAGCUCGUGUCGUGAGAUGUUGGGUUAAGUCCCGCAACGAGCGCAACCCCUGCUGGUAGUUACAUGUGUCUACCAGGACGGUCCCCUUGAUGGGGGAAGGAAGGCGGGGAUGACGUCAAAUCAGCAUGGCCCUUACGCCUGGGGCGACACACACGUACAAUGGCCGGGACAGUGCGUCGCGAACCCGCAAGGGGAGCAAAUCGUCCAAACCCGGUCUCAGUGCAGAUCGGGGGCUGCAACUCGCCCCCGUGAAGGCGGAGUUGCUAG